CAGAACCAGCGGAAAGGGGGCGCUUCCAUCUUGCCUCCCAUGAUGGUUACCAUCUCUUCGGUGAGCUUGAUAUCCGGCUCAAAACCGAGAUUACCACCCGGGGAGGAUUCAAACAUGAAGCCAAAGUCUACAAAUUUUAUCAUUACCCCUGGUGCGGUAGCUACAACUCUAUACGGAAACAGAUACAGAUCCAACCCCACCGUCUGGAAGACAUUCUUAAAUAUCCCAAUCACUUGCAGCGCCAGCAUAUCCUGCCUGACAUCAUCGCCGACUUUAAAAAUGGCCGCCUGCCACAUUUCCGGCCCCAGCGUUGCUACCUCAGCAACACCACGAUUCUGCGAGAAUGCCAUCGCCACCUGUUCCAGUUCAUUUAUCCCGUACCUCUGUACUUUAAACCUCGCUAGAUACGGUGCUUUCGCUGCGCUUUGCAUUGGUGUACCGCUCUUGUAGUCAAUAUCCACCACCAUGGCUUCGGGAUUACUAGGCAGGUAACAACCUGGUUGUACGUUGAUACGACUCAAUGCCUCCAGGCAUGCGCGUUUGCGUUCGGCGCCUUUUGGGAAGGGUCGAAUCUCGCCGGAGAUGUUGGUGAUCUUCUCGAAGAAAUCAAACUCGCGCUCGUAGAACUGCUGCGCUGGUCCGGAGAGAUUCGAGAUAAUACUAUUGAUGAGUUGAUGCGCGACGAUUUGGGAUUUCUGCGCUACGUAUUUUAUGUACUCAGUUACAUAACCCAUCUACAGGGUAAAACAAAAAGGCUUGGACAAGUUGUGGAAUGUAGAAUAAGACUGCGUCGCUCGGGUAGGAUGUCAACGACUUCACAGCAUACUGCGAUGUUAUUGGAUGCGGGGGGAAUUGUCGCGAGAAGAAUGCCAACGCCUGCAGAAAAACAACAAAAAGUUUGGGAUUGCGGAUACUAGGCAUCCUCCUCAAUAAAACAGCGAUGACAGGAAUCAACACGCCUAGAUUCCCCGCAGAGCUGGAUGCUUUUGUAGCUCCGGGUGAUUUCUCACUCGCGCGUUUACCUUCCAACCCCAGGGAGACAAACAACUCUAGAAGUGUAACCAGGAGACUAUUAACACGUGAUACAUGCGUAUACUGCGCCUUUUCCAUGGAAUUCUCGCUGUAUGUGGCGCUGCUUGAGUCUACGGUGAUCAUCGUGAACAUUUUCAUGAUGAUUUCAUAAAUGUGCUGCUCGCACUGGGCGAUUACAAUGCACCCAAGCUGGUCGACAAUUAGGAUGUCCAAUGGGGAUGGUACACGGCAGAAUCUCUGCUGGAAGAACUGCAGGAUGGUGUCGGUUGUCCGCGGGACGGCUUUCAUGCUCACUGCGACGUGUCCCAGCAUAAAGACGAUAUUGGUGGAGAUCAGUGAGCUUUCCCCGUUGGAUUUCUCAGCGGUGAAGAUGCGAUUAGACACAGCUGCAACCAAUGCACGCACUACAUUCGGAUCCAGUGCGAAUGCGGCGUCUAACGCGAAGCAUAAAUUUUCAAUCGCUGCAUCCCGGAGUUUAUCAAACGCUGUCUGAGCGGGUGUGAUUGUUUUGUAUUGGUUGUUAUCACGUGGUGUGAUAGCAGGUGUAACGGACAGUUUAUUACUGUUCUUCUUCUCGUUCUUCUCCGCGAUUUGUUUGUGUAGUUUUUGCAGAAUAGGCGAUGGAGUGAUUAGGAAAUCACGCAGGCAAUAGAUGGACGUCGAGGCGAUGUUAGGAAACUUCUGGGCGAGUUUUCCAAGGCCUUCAAGACAUACCAUCAGGAGUGGCAUAUGCGCAAGGACAAGUUUAUGUCCAUGCGUUGAGUUUAUCUUCUCUGAGAGACGUCCACAGAGGCUAUCAGCACCUAAAAAGGCCAUCUACUAACCUGUCUCGUCGCCGAUCGCCCAAACAAAUUCUAUUCUGCUAGAAUCACCUUUAACAAAUUCCUGCACGUCCUUGGUGAAGGGCACCGGUAAAUCCUUCUGCGGCUGCAGUAAUUCCCUCAACAGUGUAACCAUCACUAAAUUAAUCGUCUCCGAGAAGGUUUUAUACGGAAACGUGAUGAUUUUCUCGGUGGAAUAAAUCUCGCUGGAUUGUUCAUCCAGAAACGCGAGCAUGUCUUUGGUGAGUAACUUCUUCGCCAUCGCGAGAAUCGCCUGCAGGUGAUCCAGGCUUAAUAAAAUCAUCCGGUCGCGAUAAUCAUGAGCAUCACUCAGUCGUAAAUUCUGAAACUGAUGGAAACUCGAGCCGAACUUGCAGAAGAAAUACGUCUUCACAUCGCAGUUCUGAUCCAGGCCAAGAAAGCGAUUAUCUUCGUACAUAUUUGCGUUUUCAUUCAGCGAUAACGAGCGUGGAAUAAUCGGGCGGAAGUUACUGAAACUUCUCUGAUAAAUCGGCUUCUGCGGGGUGUUGUUUGGUGCUGGUAUGAUUGGCGGGUCGGGUUUUGGAUACAGUCGGCAAAUAUACGAUGGAUUGUUGAGUGAGAAGCGCCCAAUUGCUCUUGCAAGUCCAAGUAGGUAUGGAACUGUGUUUCUGCACAGGAAUAAUUUCGUCGAGCUUGAAUUUGUUGGUUGUUCAUGCAGUGUGAGGAUGUUUUGUGUCAGCUGCUCCAAGCAUUCAAUCUGUGUGGAAAUGAUUGUGUCUUUUUCUUCAGGACAACGCGCGGCGAUGUCUGAGAGCAGUGUGUGCAGAGAGAAGCUGAAUUUUUCAGCGACGGGUAUACGCCCAAUGAUGUUCACUUUGUUCUCUUCCAGCCAUGAGCGAUUGAGGCGCUUGGCGAGGUUUAGUAGAUACGGGAUGAUUUUUUCUUUAUGUUGCAGGUCUGAUUCCAGUAGAUAGAUGCCAAGCGCGAUGAUGGCAUCUUGAUGACGCACGCUGAUUUUGAAGAGCGAGCCGCAGGAGGGCUCCUCCGGGCAUAGGGAGAAUAACGCGUUUAGCUGUUGGUAGGUCUUUAAUGCGCGCUAGGGAGCGAGCCAGGUGCUGCACUGCCUUGUUGAAGAAGAGUUUGUCCUCGCAGACCAUGGUGAUUUAGUUCGCGGAUGCACUACACAGCAUUAUUUUGGUCGCUUCUGGACCUGUUCGACACUUUUUGCCGUAGAAUCGACCGAUUUGUGAAGGUAAAUAUUGACCCUUGGCACAGUAUGAUUUUGACAAUCAGCUGCUUGUCAAUGUGUUAAUAUGGAUUGUGUGUUUGUUUGGCUUCGAUGGCGGAAUUAUGCUGGUUAUGUGAGUUAGAGUGGGAAAUAAACAGACUACAUUGCGCAUGGCAAUGAUCAGUUUUGGAUAUAUGAUCGGCUGUAAUAUAAAGUACAUGGAUAGUGUAGGAGCUGCGUGUCAUCGGAAGAAGGAUAGGUAGAUAGGCGUUUUUAUUGUGAUAGAGUAGGAUAGAAGUUAUGACGUAGGGCGUUCACUAUCAAUGUUAUAUAUAUGAUCCUAGUAAUUUUCGCCGAUUGAUUUGAAAUUUUUAAAUGCGAUUUCGCGCGCGGAAUUUCACUAUUGCUUAUCAGUAUUUGUUUGCUAUCCUGCAUGCGACCUUGUUUGUUGCAAAUAGUGUGCAUUGCGUUGCGACGUGCGCGCAAGAUUAUUGCGCUUUGCGCUUGCGGUCCCUGAUUGCGCGCUGCGCUCAGCGUAGUUUUGUGCCGGUCGCUGUUGGAGUCGGACGUGUUUCUCGCGGCUGUUAUAUUUUAUUUUUGAGUUUGUAAUUCGGUAAAUCGUGUUCAUUUCGAUCGUCCAUCGCCUGCUUUUAGUUAUUACUGACGUGUUUAGUGUGUUAAUCCGAUGUGGAACAUACAAAAUCGUUCAUUUUAUUUACGGUCGUUGUGCGUGUUUCAAGAUGACCGCGUGUUAUCAAUUAGUUUACAUUUCAUGCAGGCGUGAUACAGGUAGCAUGAACCUGCAUCGUCUUGCAGCAGUUUUAAGAUUUUAUUUCGAUUAAUUGCGUGCCGUUCGUUUAACCAUCGCCGGUUAUCUGUGCUAGUUGUCGUGUUUGGUGUUUAGUGUGAUGAUCUGUACGUGAGCCAUCUUGCUCGGGGAACAUGGGCAAAGAUAUGCGUGGAAUACCAAGAAAGAACGGUAAGGUGUAAACUUUAUUUUCUUUUUCUGAAAUUGUCGUCCCUAUUAAAUUCACCUAUUCGUGCAUGCAUUGUUCGGGAAGUUUUAUUCAUACGCGUGCAGUUAAGUCUUUGCUUACGCCGGGUUAGAACGAUAUCUUAUCUUGUUAUUGUUGUGAACAUUUUUAUUUAUUUGUAUGCGGUGAAGCCACAAUUUUAAACCUGCGUAUCCGUGUUUAGUAUUAUCGUAAUUAAUUGUGAUUUAAUUCUUGUUCUUGGUCAAUUCUGCGCCAAAUCAUCUUUUAAUUCAUCUUUAAGUUCAGUUAUAAUUAGAUUUGUAUAUAUUUAAGUACCUUUGACAAUGAAUUUGAUGAAUGCCUGUGGAAUAACAUGCAGUGUAAACUCUUUAUAACGAUACUUACUAAAAUUUGUUGAUUAAAGGACGGAUUUCACUCACCCAGUCACAAAACCAACAUUCCUGUACGUAUUUUUACGUCAUUAUAAAAAAAGUUAUCAAGAAUUUUUAUUGUAUUGCACAUUUAAUCACUUCACGAUUUGUACUGUAGUGUCGUGCGUUUUCUUUGUUGGUAGUAAGGCGCUAAGGUAUUUGGUAGUUGCCGCACUGUCGUUGUUUAGCUUUAACUCGCGAAGGGGGCAUUUUAAGAGUUGUCAAAUUAAUUUCUUCGUGGCGUUGUAUUAGUUUGUUGCAGAAGUUGCAUUUGGAACAUAUCUAAAGUCGAAAAUUGGAUGGUUAAGUGGGAUUUUUACAUGUGAGGGGAAAUUGUUAGGGUUUUUGGGUAUAGCUUGCGAAGGGAGCGGCCUAGAAUUUUCAUUGCGGUGUCUGUUAAGUGCGCGUAAUCCUAGAUUUGUGUUUGUGCGGUCAUCCUCUUGAGCACAUUUCCAUGAUUGCUGUUUGUGUUAUGUAAUUGUGUAUGUAGAACUUGAGAUCUCCUUUUAUUGUGUAUAUGGCUUUGCUGUAUUGUAUUAUGUAUUAAUGUGUAAAUACAUACAUGUUUGUUGUACUGUCCAUGUAGAAUUCGUUUUUAUAUGUAAAAGUUUUGUAUUGUAUUUGUUUGUGUUUUAAUGUUUGCUUGCACCUUGUGUUGUAAUUACUAUAAAUAAGCAACUGCGCUUCCGUCGCAGAAAUGUUAGAGAUGCGCGUAUUACAAGGCAUGUUUUACUUUCAGGAGAUUUAAGAGCUGCCUCUGAUUUUCGAUUUUUAAUAAAUGUAUGUGGUUUUAAAUGUUGCUAAUAAAACAUAAUGUAAUAUUA